CGGGUGAGUAAUGCGUGACCAACCUGCCCCAUGCUCCAGAAUAGCUCUUGGAAACGGGUGGUAAUGCUGGAUGCUCCAACUUGACGCAUGUCUUGUUGGGAAAGUGUUUAGUGGCAUGGGAUGGGGUCGCGUCCUAUCAGCUUGUAGGCGGGGUAAUGGCCCACCUAGGCUUCGACGGGUAGCCGGCCUGAGAGGGCGGACGGCCACAUUAGGACUGAGAUACGGCCCAGACUCCUACGGGAGGCAGCAGCC
rnacentral:rRNA from 1 species